UAUUGUUGUUCACGAUAAUGUUGUUCAUGAAACACGUGUGCCCACUGACUGAAUAUAAUGUUCCCUUCCCUCCAAUAAUAUUCCCAAAACGAUUAGCCUCAACUCCAAAAUAACUAUGCAUUAUGAAAGUAUUUGCGUAGCCUAUUCGCACAAUGCAUAGCUCAGACUGGAUAUCCAUUCAGCUGCAGCAUUUCUAACGUUGUAGAAUCAUUCACGUGUUUGUGCGAAUCUGAAAAAUGGGAAGUCAAUAUACAGAAUUUCCGGUGUGAAGAAAUCAACCACCACUAUGAUUACAGUGUUUUCAGCUUCAGGCACAAGCCGACAUGAGCUUUAUAAAAUCUUUUAAGUAGGCUAGUUGUCAUAAACAACUACAGGACGGGAACGCUGAAUUGUAACAAGGAUGUUAUAAGCACAUGUGAAAUGCUAAUUCGCUCAGGGAGAACGAGCAAUAUUUGUCACAUACGGAGGGGAGCAUCAGCAUCAUUGCUCACGCGGACACAUGCUUCUGCAUCGAGACGAGAGGCACCAGCACCAGGGUCUCUCUGACAAGAGACCGAAUCUGAGAUUCAUGGACCCUUCACGCAAAAUUCGCCAGGAGAAACAGAAAGGAAAUGCAACUGGUGGUGGAUCAGAAUAGACACCCUUAUCCUCGGUGUCAGUUGCCGCGUUCAUAUGCUAGUCGACUCUUAUUUUUUAAAAUUGAACUAGGCAAGUCAGUUAAGAACAAAUUAUUAUUUACAAUGGCGGCCUACUCCGGCCAAACCCGGACGACGCUGGGACCAUUGUGCGCCGCCCUAUGGGACUCCCAAUCACGGCCGGAUGUGAUACAGCCUGGAUUCGAACUAGGUACUAGUGACGCCUCUUGCACUGAGAUGCAGUGAUGCCCGGUAUAUGAUUGCGGCAAGUGUCCACACUGCUAAAAGAGGUUCAUCGAGCUGCGACAGCUCACUCAGCAGCUGAGUAAUAUUCACCCCAACGUUCUGGCCAAGCACCUUCAAAGAGGUCUGAUUCUCCCACAUCCAGAGCUCGCUGUCAUCAAUAAGCCAUAUGGAGCUUCUGUUCAAGGUAUUGGGUGUUGAGGCAAUGUAUUUACAUGCCUAUUACAUUAUGGUACAUAAGGCUUAUAUGGUCAAACACACAGUCAAGGAUUAUAUCAUGAAAGAGAUUGUUCAUUUGAAUGUCACUUGUAAAAAAUACAUCUUAAUACCCAGAGGUGUUUUCAAAAAUCACUGUGAUUUAAAUCCAAUAAUCUUCCCCCUAAAUGGGUCAAAGGAAUAUCAUGGACAUCUUCCAGUCCUUGCCAAGGUGAUGGAUGGCAUUGAGGGCUGAGCCCCACUCCCAGCUGAAAGUCCGCCUUGGAUUGGACAAGGAGACAACAGGGGCCCUCUUGCUGGCAAGGACUGAUGAAGCACCGGACUAUGUACAAAACCUCCACAAAAAAACACCAAGUGGAGAGGAAAUAUUGGUGUAUGGAUGUCUGUGUGUUUAGAGAUUUAGUUUAAGAUAAGGAUCCAGGCAGCUCAUCAUAUGGCAGAGUUUUUGUAAUGACCCUGCCGUUGACAACUAGCUCCCUAGUUUUCUUGGAGCAGCGGUGAUGUGUCUGGCCCUGGACCCAAGGGUUAUUGGGCUCGAUUCACACCUCAAAUCAAACUUUAUUGGUUGCAUAGACAUAGCAGAUGUUAUUGCGGGUGUAGUGAAAUGCUCGUGUUCCGAGCUCCGACAGUGCAGUAGUAUCUAACAAGCAGUGACGUAGCCUCUGAACCUCAUGCUACUUCCUGGUUACAUUACACUUUCAGUCAUCUUCCUUUUUCCCUAUUCCCCCAUGCAGCAUUGCUGCUGUGGCCUGUUCCCUAUGAGGGGAUGACUUGACAACCCUCAUAGAGAGAGAAUUCACCUGGGCUCAGGCUCAUUUCAAGAUAGGCCUGAGUCCUGUGUACAGAGGGAGUGACUAACGUGCAGGCCCAGGGGGCAGUGUCCCAGUACGUGUCCUGGACAGCAGCAAUGGCUGCAGCCUUGUGGAGCUCCAGCCCAUCACAGGGGUGAGGAUCCAUAUGGCAUACGUUCUGGGAUGUCAUAUUCUUGGGGACCACAAAUACUCCCACCUUAGAAACUGCUGGACGGUUUGUUACCGAGGCUGGGAUUGGAACAAAGCAAGGCACGUUGCCUUCUUCCCUAACCCUGCACACACAUCAGCUGACACUGCCAGUGAUAUCACUGUGUCCUGCCCUGCUGAAGUACUUCACCACCAGCACCCUGCGAUGACUGCAGAUCCCCAUUCCAAAUAAGAGGAUGAAUGAUGCAUCAGCGGCUCCUCUGCAGAGCAGACAGGAUACAGAAGACUCUUUUAAAAUCAGAAAUACGGAGCGGCAUCACUUCAAGUGACCCAUGACCUAAUGGUUGUCCCAAGUCCAAGAGCUAAGGCCUGACUGAAAUUCUUAAAAAGCCACACACUCUCAUUCACAGUACAAAGGCACGUUUUUUUUCUUCAGACUUUCUUAUUUAGCAUCCAACACCACUAGAAUAUCAAUACAUACAGGAGAUCAUAAAUGGCAAUAAAAAUACAUGUAAAAAAAGUGAGCAGAGUUCCCAUUAAAUGUCUGUUGGUGUGUAAUCCACUCUGCUCUUGGCUCCUGUCCUGUCUGGGACCUGAGAGCUUGGAGGACAAGAGGCACAGGAGAGUCCCUGUGGAGGCUAACAUGUUAUAGGGGGUACAUUUCCAUAUACAUACCCCUACGUAUUUAUUUGGACAGUGAAGCUAAAAUAUGUACAUUUGGCCCUAUACUCUAGCAUCUUGGAUGACAUCAAAUGUUAUGAGGCGACAGUACAGAAUGCCACCUUUUAUUUGAAGGUAUUUUCAUACUUGACUACAAACUUGUUGGAUGCAUUUGCAGUUUGGUUGUGUUUCAGAUUAUGAUUUGCCCAAUAGGAAUGGUGAAUAAUGUAUUGUGUCACUUGAGUCACCUUUUAUUGUUAAGUAAGAAUAAAAUAUGUUUCUGAACAGUACAUUGUGGAUGCUACCAAGAUUAUGGAUAAUCAUGAACGAAUCCUGAAUAAUGAGUGAACGAUGCUCCUCAACAACAACAAAAAUGCUAACCUCUGUCAUGGUGAGAGGUUCAAAUGUCUUGGGGGUAUGAUCGUUGUACCUUCUCACUCAUUAUCCACAAUUCAUUCAUGAUUAUCCAUAAUCAUGGUAGCAGCCACAUUAAUGUAGAAGUGUUCAGAAACAUAAGCUUAUUUACAAUAAAAGUGACUCCAAAAUGUCACAAUACAUUUACCAUUCAUUUCUAUUGCGAACAACAAUCUGAAAACGCAGCCAAAACAAACCGCAAAAGCAUCCAAGAAGUUUGUAGUCACUUGAUGUAGUCAUUGCAUGCUAGGAAUGUGACCAAAUACUACAAUUUUGAAUACUUUAAUACUACAAGUGAAUUUGUCAAAAUACUUCUGACACCUUCAAAAAUGGGGGGACUAGAUAGUGCUUUCAUUUCUAAACAGUAAAACAUAUGAAAAUACAAUCAAAUGAAACAUUUCAUCUCAAAUCCAAAAUGCUGGAAUACAGAGCCAAAUUAAUCAUUUUUUGGUUUAUCAUUAUCCAACUAAAUACAUAGGGAAGUGUACAGCACCUUCAGAAAGUAUUCACACCCCUUGACUUUUUCCACAUUGUAACACAAUCUGAAUUUAAAAUUAUUACAUUGAGAUUUGUCACUGGCCUACACACAAUUUCAAAGUGGAAUUAUGUUUUUAUAAACUUUUACAAAUUUAUGAAAAUCAGAAAUAUCUUGAGUCAAUAAGCAUUCAACCCAUUUGUUAUGGCUUACCAAGAAGACAGUGAUGGUUCCCGAAUGUCCGAGUUACAGUUUAGAUUUAAAUCUACUUGAAAAUCUAUGGCAAGACCUGAAAAUGUCUGUCCAGCAAUUUGACAGAGCUGGAAUAAUUUUGAAAAGUAUAAUGGACAAAUGUUGCACAAUCCAGGUGUGGAAAGCUCUUAAAGACUUGAAGCCAAAUUAUGCUUGACAACAGCUCAGCGAAGCGCAAAAAAUAUGCUUGCUCUGACUUCUGCGGAGGCCGCGUCGCAGUAAAUGCUGUAUGGCUUGACCAUGCAGCGCCUUUUACCCAGAAAGACUCUCAGCUGUAAUAGCUGUCAAAGGUGCCUAGACAAAGUAUUGACUCAGGUUUGAAUACUUAUGUAAACGAGAUAUUUCUGCAUUUCAUUUUCAAUAAAAUGUGCAAACAUUUCUAAAACAUG